UCUAAGCAGCUAAAUCAGUUAUCUGUGAUUUACGUAUAAAAUAUGGACAUGUUCAAAAUGAGUUUAACAUGCCUUCAUGAUGUACAUUAAGUGCCAUAGCACAACAUUAACAAAAUACAGUUUCUCUCCUUAAAAUUGUCCAUCUUUUUCUUAUGUUUAACAUGCAUAUCGAAAUAUAUACUUCGCUGAAAUUUUCUGGAUAGCAACUAAUUAGCACUGUUAGCGCUUGAGGAGAUAUGUUAGAGGUACGAAAUGCAAUUGGCAUUAAACAUAUAAAUCAGGAAAAAAAAGAGAAAUUUCACUGUCAAUCUCAAAUGUAAAUUGAAUAAGCUCUUUUGAGUUUCCUCUUUCCUUAAACCUUAUCUGCAACCGUAUAAAUCUACCUUCACAAAUAAUCAAAUUUGAGACACAAUAUUAGGCAAUGCAACAACCAAAUGGGAAUGAAUUUCAAUGACCGAAAUGGAAGGAAAAAAAAAGCAAUGCAUAAAACAUCGAUUGUUCUUAGCAAAUAUGAACUUCGUAAUAUAAGAAUGUCUAUGAGGGGUAAUUGGGGUAUAAACUACAACGAGGAUUUGGUAAUUGUUUGUGCUCAAAAUGAAUUACCGAUCACACACACACAAGACAAUAGAGGCCAUGAUGCCUACGUUCACUGAGAGAAAACAAUAAUCUACUAAUCGAUGAAUGAUUACAAAGGAGUAGAACACACCCGCUCUCAACUCACAACCCUCUCUCCUGUCUGCCUCUCAACUCUCAACUAACAGCAUACCGCUCUCAGCCCACAUCACACAAAUCUCAGCACCCUAUCCUCCCUUUUAUAAACCAAGGGAAUGAGGUAGUAGACUUCCAGUAGGAUACCUAAUAGUUUAUCCUAUUCUACCUAAUCAUCUCAAGAAUUCUAGUUAACUGUAAGUUUUCACUCUCACAUGGACACUCCAUGUGGUCAACGGCUUUGGGCUUGGCUAACUAGCUUUGGACUCAUCAAGUGAGUUAGACCAACAAUCUUCAGCCACGGGAGGGUAUCGAUGUCUUCAAUUGUUCAUCCUCACCCAUAAGUCUGUAAGACAGCUCCGCGAAUAUCUUGUCUCAUCAACGGUUUUCUCCACUUCCCAUUAAAGUGUAUGCACCUCCCCACCAAAGUGCUGCACCUUUUCAUUGAGGUUACCCUGCAUCCCCGCAAGGAGUGCGCCGCAAAGUUACAUCACUUUGGUGAGUUGUCGUGCUUCUAUCUCUCCACCCUGUGUGCACUAACUAAGAGAUCACCACCAUUAAUCAAUCGAUGAGCGAAGAGACUCGUUGCGACAACGGCGCGCCAGUCGUUGUACAACUUUUCAAAAUUGACUUUGUCUCGCUUCUCUGAACUUCUCUCUGGACAUUCUGCACGGUUGCACCACUCGUGUCUGGCCAGCUUUCACACAUAUCUCAAAUCAUCUCCCGCACCCUUGUCACCACUCUGGAUCCUCCAGGUACCCUUUGCGCUUUGCUUUGGCAUCCUUUGUGCACGUUUCUUCCCUUGUCCCGUUUUCUUGCUAUACACUGGACCCAUGUCAAACAGUAGCGCUCCCCCCCCCUGUCUGGACACUCCCUUCUAAUCGAUAUAGUCCCUCACGUAUUCCUAUCGCCCACAACACUCCUUGUUUCUCUUGAAAACUCUCAGAAUUCCUCACUAGUUUUUCAAAGUUGCAUCCCUUUGAAUCUAGUAUCCCAAUAAAAAUCAAAUUUUUCUGUAGACUAGGAACAUGUCUUACAUCGGUUAACGUCAGAGACCUCCUAUCUACCAUGCGGAACCGGACUAUUCUUUUGCCAACAACUCUGUUCGCCAUGUUGUUCGCCAUCCGUAUAAGUCCCUCACAUGCUGCAUAUAUAAAGAAUACCUCUCUAUCUCUACACAAGUGGUAAGCACUGCCUGAAUUCAAUACGUAAUAUGACUUUUCAUCUGCCGAUGCUUCUAGGAACCACUCUAAUCCUAAUAUGUGCCACUAUGGCUACCUCGAAAAACUGAUCAUUCUAUGCUUUAUACCAGGGGUAGUCUCUCUGAUAUGCCCCUCCUAGUCGCAGAAAAACACGUAAAAGUUGCAACUUCUAGACUAUACCUCCGUCAUCCCUCUCAGUACCGACUUCUUCCUUGACCUGGACCCUCUUCCCUGCUUCGUUCUGAGCUGGGCUCACGAAUCAUCACUAUCUCGCCGUACUCAUCGCUCUCCUCCAAGCCUCUUCAUUGAAUAGGGGUAUCCAUUACCAUACUCGUAGUCAACUCCCAUUCGACGUUGAAUUGCUAAGAGAAAUUAUCAAUCUCUUCCAACUUUUGGCAAGGAACUCAAAACCAGUAGGGCCUGCGUCUCAUCCUCAAAUUGUAGGUCAACACUGGUCAAUUGAUUGACCAACUUCUGGAACUCACUCGUAUAUUCCACCAUUGUAGUAAGCUUCAAAUUUACAAGCCUCCUCAUCAAUAAGGAUUUAUUUUGAGAUGUCUUCGCCUGGUACAUCUCCUCCAAUUUGAUCC
rnacentral:lncRNA from 1 species